rnacentral:rRNA from 1 species
GCCGGAGGAAGUGGGGACGACGUCAAGUCAGCAUGACCUUUAUAUCCAGGGCUACACACACGCUACAAUGGUCAGUACAAUGGGUUGCCAAGCCGCGAGGCGGAGCCAAUCCUAAAAAGCUGGCCUCAGUUCAGAUUGCAGUCUGAAACUCGACUGCAUGAAGUCGGAGUUGCUAGUAAACGCAGGUCAGCUAUACUGCGUUGAAUACGUUCCCGGGGCUU